UAAUUUCUGUCUUUCCUUCUAAUUCGGUCCUAUCAGCUGGUCUGGAUUUUCUGUGAUAAUUUGUAAGACGCAAACCCCAAGAUGAAAUUUGUGUUGUUGGUUAUGUGUGUAUUUUUGUGUGCAGCGACUUUUAGUACAGCUUUAAGACACGGCGACUGCUAUUACAACGGCAAGUACUACGCUGAAGGGUCGGGCUUCCCAUCCAGCGACGGCUGCAACCACUGUGGCUGCAACUACGGCAUGGUCAUGUGUACGGAGAUGGCGUGUCUGGCAAUCUGACGUCAUUUCAUCGUUACCCUAUGAUACUCUUUUAGAACGUGGAAAAUAAAAAUGUAUUCCCAAA